UUCGCUUGCUCGCCCAAACCACAUGGCCUAGCUGAUUUCCAUGCCUUCCCUGCUCUGUUCACUCUGGCUGCCCAUGAAGCUCUGUUCAUCGCUCAAAGUGGAUGAAUACUAUGAAUAUGAAUAUCAGGCACAGCCCAUAGGCUUGAAAGGAUGCAUUUAGCCACAUAAGAUUUCCCCUCCAAAAGGCAUCCAUUCCAAGCAAAGUACAAAAGGGCUUCAGAUGAUCAGAUAUUGAUUUCUGCUACCUGGCAAGAGAG